rnacentral:rRNA from 1 species
UACGUAGGGUGCAAGCGUUGUCCGGAAUUAUUGGGCGUAAAGAGCUCGUAGGCGGUUUGUCACGUCUGCUGUGAAAACUCGGGGCUUAACUCCGGGCCUGCAGUGGGUACGGGCAGACUAGAGUGCGGUAGGGGAGACUGGAAUUCCUGGUGUAGCGGUGAAAUGCGCAGAUAUCAGGAGGAACACCGGUGGCGAAGGCGGGUCUCUGGGCCGAAUGACGCUGAGGAGCGAAAGCGUGGGGAGCGAACAGG